AAGUCGUAACAAGGCUUCCGUAGGUGAACCUGCGAAAGGAUCAUUAACACGUAUCCAAACGUUAAAACCCCCCCCGUGAACAUUCAUCCUGCUCUUGUAACCCGCGAAGCUUGCCAUCUCUGGUAAAUCAUAGCCCGGAAAGUAGUUUUGAUUCAGAGACCUCUGGCCCGUGCGCAUAUUAGGCCUUGUUUCCCCAAGCAGUCAAUGUCUGAAAGUGUCAUUGAUUGUGCAAGGAUACGCUUCACGAUUCUUGUAGACCGCAUCUCGCGGGCAGGAGCUAGGCCAAAGGGUCCCCAUGCCCCCUUACAACCCCACAGUUUAAUGUGAAGCUCAAUGUAAUAUAUUGGGUAAAAAAACCGAACAACUGUUAACAAUGGAUAUCUUGGUUCUC
rnacentral:misc_RNA from 1 species